CAGGCGGUGGGUUUAAACCUGAGGGCGGGAAUUCGCGCCAUCCUGGGUUAUGCUGUCGUUACCAAGGGGUCCUGGCUCCUUUCUGUUACUCAUCAGAUUGAUGCCAUUUUGCUGUUGCUUCAUGGAGUUCAGGAACAUGA
rnacentral:snoRNA from 1 species